rfam:Schistosoma margrebowiei strain Zambia genome assembly, scaffold: SMRZ_scaffold0000137
AUCCUGUUGAUGAGUCCCAUACAGGACGAGACGCAUGUCCUGGAU